UACGUAGGGGGCAAGCGUUGUCCGGAAUCAUCGGGCGUAAAGAGCGUGUAGGCGGCCCGAUAAGUCCGCCGUGAAAGUCCAGGGCUCAACCCUGGAAUGCCGGUGGAAACUGUCGGGCUGGAGUCCGGAAGAGGCGAGUGGAAUUCCUGGUGUAGCGGUGAAAUGCGCAGAUAUCAGGAGGAACACCAAUGGCGAAGGCAGCUCGCUGGGACGGUACUGACGCUGAGACGCGAAAGCGUGGGGAGCAAACAGG
rnacentral:rRNA from 1 species